rnacentral:rRNA from 1 species
UACGAAGGGGGCUAGCGUUGUUCGGAAUUACUGGGCGUAAAGCGCGCGCAGGCGGCCAUUCAAGUCAGGGGGUGAAAUCCCAGAGCUCAACUCUGGAACUGCCUUUGAUACUGGGUAUCUAGAGUAUGGAAGAGGUGAGUGGAAUUCCGAGUGUAGAGGUGAAAUUCGUAGAUAUUCGGAGGAACACCAGUGGCGAAGGCGGCUCACUGGUCCAUUACUGACGCUGAGGUGCGAAAAGCGUGGGGAGCAAACAGG